UACGUAGGGUGCAAGCGUUAAUCGGAAUUACUGGGCGUAAAGCGUGCGCAGGCGGCUUUGCAAGUCAGAUGUGAAAUCCCCGGGCUUAACCUGGGAACUGCAUUUGUGACUGCAUGGCUGGAGUGCGGCAGAGGGGGAUGGAAUUCCGCGUGUAGCAGUGAAAUGCGUAGAUAUCUGGAGGAACACCGGUGGCGAAGGCGGCAUCCUGGACCGACACUGACGCUGAGGCGCGAAAGCUAGGGGAGCAAACGGG
rnacentral:rRNA from 1 species